rnacentral:rRNA from 1 species
AUUGAACGCUGGCGGCAGGCCUAACACAUGCAAGUCGAACGGUAACAGGAAGAAGCUUGCUUCUUUGCUGACGAGUGGCGGACGGGUGAGUAAUGUCUGGGAAACUGCCUGAUGGAGGGGGAUAACUACUGGAAACGGUAGCUAAUACCGCAUAACGUCGCAAGACCAAAGAGGGGGACCUUCGGGCCUCUUGCCAUCGGAUGUGCCCAGAUGGGAUUAGCUAGUAGGUGGGGUAACGGCUCACCUAGGCGACUAUCCCUAGCUGGUCUGAGAGGAUGACCAGCCACACUGGAACUGAGACACGGUCCAGACUCCUACGGGAGGCAGCAGUGGGGAAUAUUGCACAAUGGGCGCAAGCCUGAUGCAGCCAUGCCGCGUGUAUGAAGAAGGCCUUCGGGUUGUAAAGUACUUUCAGCGGGGAGGAAGGGAGUAAAGUUAAUACCUUUGCUCAUUGACGUUACCCGCAGAAGAAGCACCGGCUAACUCCGUG